CACGUAGGGGCCAAGCGUUGUCCGGAUUUAUUGGGCGUAAAGAGCUCGUAGGCGGUUGGGUAAGUCGGGUGUGAAAACUCCAGGCUCAACUUGGAGACGCCACCCGAUACUGCUCUGACUUGAGUUCGGUAGGGGAGUGGGGAAUUCCUGGUGUAGCGGUGAAAUGCGCAGAUAUCAGGAGGAACACCGGUGGCGAAGGCGCCACUCUGGGCCGAAACUGACGCUGAGGCGCGAAGGCCAGGGGAGCAAACGGG
rnacentral:rRNA from 1 species